UACGUAGGGGGCAAGCGUUGUCCGGAUUUAUUGGGCGUAAAGAGCGUGUAGGCGGCCUGGAAGGUCAGCUGUGAAAACUCGAGGCUCAACCUCGAGACGUCGGUUGAAACCACCUGGCUAGAGUCCGGAAGAGGAGUGUGGAAUUCCCGGUGUAGCGGUGGAAUGCGCAGAUAUCAGGAGGAACACCGGUGGCGAAGGCGGGUCUCUGGGCCGAUAUUGACGCUGAGGAGCGAAAGCGUGGGGAGCGAACAGG
rnacentral:rRNA from 1 species